rnacentral:rRNA from 1 species
GAUGAACGCUGGCGGCGUGCCUAAUACAUGCAAGUCGAACGAGGCCCUUUGUAUUCGUACGAAGGUGUCCUAGUGGCGAACGGGUGAGUAACACGUUGGUGACCUACCCCGAAGCGGGGGACAACUCCGGGAAACUGGAGCUAAUACCCCAUGUGAUCCAUGAAGUUAGAGGUUCAUGGAUGAAAGGAGCAAUCCGCUUUGGGACGGGCCUGCGGCCCAUCAGCUAGUUGGUAGGGUAACGGCCUACCAAGGCAACGACGGGUAGGGGGCCUGAGAGGGUGGUCCCCCACAAUGGAACUGAGACACGGUCCAUACAUCUACGGAUGGCAGCAGUAGGGAAUAUUGCACAAUGGGCGAAAGCCUGAUGCAGCGACGCCGCGUGGAGGAUGAAGGCCUUCGGGUUGUAAACUCCUUUUCGGGGGGAUGAGGAAGGACAGUACCCCCAGAAUAAGUCUCGGCUAACUACGUG